UACGUAGGGUGCAAGCGUUUGUCCGGAAUUAUUGGGCGUAAAGAGCUCGUAGGCGGUUUGUCGCGUCUGCUGUGAAAUCCCGAGGCUCAACCGCGGGCCUGCAGCCGAUACGGGCAGGCUAGAGUUCGGUAGGGGAGACUGGAAUUCCUGGUGUAGCGGUGAAAUGCGCAGAUAUCAGGAGGAACACCGAUGGCGAAGGCAGGUCACUGGGCCGCAACUGACGCUGAGGAGCGAAAGCAUGGGGAGCGAACAGG
rnacentral:rRNA from 1 species